rnacentral:rRNA from 1 species
CUGCUAUCGGAUGAUACUAAGCCAUGCGAGUCUUGUAGUAAUACAAGGCAGACGGCUCAGUAACACGUAGUCAACCUACCCUAUGGACAAGAAUAAUCUCGGGAAACUGGGCAUAAUUCUUGAUAGAUCAUAAUGCCUGGAAUGGUUUAUGGUUAAAAUGAUUCGUCGCCAUAGGAUGGGACUGCGGCCUAUCAGCUUGUUGGUGAGGUAAUGGCCCACCAAGGCGAUUACAGGUACGGGCUCUGAGAGGAGAAGCCCGGAGAUGGGUACUGAGACACGGACCCAGGCCCUAUGGGGCGCAGCAGGCGAGAAAACUUUGCAAUGUGCGAAAGCACGACAAGGUUAAUCCGAGUGAUUUCUGCUAAAGAAAUCUUUUGCCAGUCAUAAAACCACUGGUGAAUAAGGGGUGGGCAAGUUCUGGUGUCAGCCGCCGCGGUAAAACCAGCACCUCAAGUGGUCAGGAUGAUUAUUGGGCCUAAAGCAUCCGUAGCCGGCUUUGUAAGUUUUCGGUUAAAUCCAUGUGCUCAACGCAUGGGCUGCCGAAAAUACUGCAUGGCUAGGGAGUGGGAGAGGUAGACGGUACUCAGUAGGAAGGGGUAAAAUCCUUUGAUCUAUUGAUGACCACCUGUGGCGAAGGCGGUCUACCAGAACACGUUCGACGGUGAGGGAUGAAAGCUGGGGGAGCAAACCGGAUUAGAUACCCGGGUAGUCCCAGCUGUAAACGAUGCAGACUCGAUGAUGCAUUGGCAUAAUAGCCAGUGCAGUGUCGCAGGGAAGCCGUUAAGUCUGCCGCCUGGGAAGUACGUACGCAAGUAUGAAACUU